rnacentral:rRNA from 1 species
AUGGCGCCUUUCGUCGGCCGCGAUGGUGCCACAUAUCUGGGCCAGCUUUUGGUCCCCGUACUUCCUGGCGUGCCUUGCAGUGUUGCCGUGAGAUAUGAAGGUUGCCCUCUCUUGGAAAGACGUGUAAAUGAAAAACUCAUAGGGAUUGGCCUCGACACAAGUGCUUACCAUUCCAGCACCAACCAAAUACUGUAUGGUCUUCUCCACCUGCCUCAUAUCAGCUCUCCCAGUGAGAUAAAUAUACUUGUUCAUGAGAUCGCCGUGUCGGUUCUCCUCGGCCGUCCAUGCCCUCGUCCAGACAGCCCAGCUGGUUGGGCUGCUGCCAGUCUCGUCGCGGACACCACCAUCAAGGAUAUUGAGCAUUUUCUGAUAGGUAGGGAGUGCUUCCUCAGUGACCAUGUCUCCAACCAGACAUACCAAGUAUUCAUCGGGGAUCUCCUCGGCUCGCUCCCUCAGCUCCUUGACUUCAUCAUAAAAUCUAUCCGAGGAAGGGUCUGGCAGGUAGUCCUGUGGCUGCCAGGAUCUUUCAACCGGCUUCAAGAGCACCAGAAUGUUGUCCUCUGCCCAACUGUUAAGCGAAUCAAAAAUCUCUCUCUUUUCAGGUGGCAAUGA